UCUCGAUAGCGUAAAAGUUAACUCAAAUUUAUAUGGAACUGGAACAUGGCCUAGGCUUAUCAGUAGGGGCGCUGUUCCAACUGCAUACAAAUUUGAGUUAACUUUUACGCUAUCGA
rnacentral:pre_miRNA from 9 species